rnacentral:rRNA from 1 species
CAGUCGCCGCGGUAAUACGUAGGUGGCAAGCGUUGUCCGGAAUUAUUGGGCGUAAAGCGCGCGCAGGUGGUUUAAUAAGUCUGAUGUGAAAGCCCACGGCUCAACCGUGGAGGGUCAUUGGAAGCUGUUAAACUUGAGUGCAGGAGAGAAAAGUGGAAUUCCUAGUGUAGCGGUGAAAUGCGUAGAGAUUAGGAGGAACACCAGUGGCGAAGGCGGCUUUUUGGCCUGUAACUGACACUGAGGCGCGAAAGCGUGGGGAGCAAUCAGGAUUAGAUACCCCCGUAGUCCCUGUCUCUUAUAC